rnacentral:rRNA from 1 species
AUACGUAGGGAGCGAGCGUUGUCCGGAAUUACUGGGCGUAAAGGGCGCGUAGGCGGCGCUUCAAGUCGUCUGUCAAAUGGGAGGGCUUAACCCUUUUUCGCAGACGAAACUGGAGAGCUUGAGAAGCAGAGAGGCAAACAGAAUUCCUGGUGUAGCGGUGAAAUGAGUAGAUAUCAGGAAGAAUACCAGUGGCGAAGGCGGUUUGCUGGCUGCAUACUGACGCUGAAGCGCGAAAGCCAGGGGAGCAAACGGGAUUAGAUACCCCGGUAGUCCUGGCAGUAAACGAUGUGGACUUGGUGUUGGGAUGGCCUCGAGCUGCCCCAGUGCCGAAGGGAAGAUGUUAAGUCCACCGCCUGGGAAGUACGGCCGCAAGACUGAAACUUAAAUGAAUCGGCGGGG